AUUUCUCGUUCAUUAUCAGUCAAUGGAGGGGUAUCUCUUGGAGGUGAAUGCCGUUGGAGCCGUGAUAGUUGCUACAAAACUGCUGAUACUGUUACUCUUCGCAAAGACUGGAGCAGCCCAGAUCCGCAAUUGGAAGCUGGAGCAUUCGUCAGGAUUACAGUGACACCCAAAAUCUCAGUGAAACUGCCAGCGUCUCCAAAAUCGCAAUCAAAGGCAAUCAAGUCAUCCUUUUUUAGUUUUUUCGACGAUUUAGUUGAAGCUGGUUUUGAGUAUGUGGACCUUUCCAUGGCGGUAUUUGUGA